GAUGAACGCUAGCGGCAGGCUUAACACAUGCAAGUCGAGGGGUAUGCCGAUUUAUCGGCAGAGACCGGCGCACGGGUGCGUAACGCGUAUGCAAUCUACCUUUCACAGAGGGAUAGCCCAGAGAAAUUUGGAUUAAUACCUCAUAGUAUAGCAGUUUCGCAUGAAACCACUAUUAAAGUUCCAACGGUGAAAGAUGAGCAUGCGUCCCAUUAGCUAGAUGGUAAGGUAACGGCUUACCAUGGCUACGACGGUAGGGGUC
rnacentral:rRNA from 1 species